GAAAGCCCACGUCUGUGUCACACUUCUUCUCUGAGAGGCUCAGGAUCAGUGUGGAAGAGAAGGAAGAAAGAGUGUAAGAACUAGAGGUGUUGGAUAGCUACAAACAAACACGGUCUUCUGGACAUGGGAGGGCAGUGGUUAUGACGGAAUUCACGAGAGCUGUGCAAGCUUCAGCCAGGAAAUAAGAUACUGUGGAUUCAUUCUGUGUUAAGAAAAUUAAAGUUUUAUUGAGGAAGACUCCUUGAAAUAUCUCCAAAGGGAACAGAUGACCCAGAUGGUCCAACAUUUCAGAGUACCUCUGUUUCAGUUUCUCCUGAAUUCUGCAUCCAAAACAACUUCAAGGCUGCUGGUUGAGAUGAUCCAGCCUCACAGAAUACUUCCCAGUUAAUACUUGGCCAUAAUCCUAAAUUUUCUUUGGCUCCCCAAAGGAUUACCCGCACCCUCAAUUUGCAGAAUGUAACCUAGAAAACUACACCCACAUUCCCAAAAAUGGAUUAUGGAUAUUU